ensembl:lncRNA
CCCUUCUCAAGGAACUUUCUGCAGGAGUGUGUGGAUGGCGGGGGGAGAGGCACAAAGAAAUGACCAAGCGAGGAGUGAGCCCUCUGGGAGAGCAAAGCUUGCCAGCUGGGAGACAGGAGAAAGCAGCCAGGAACCUCCGAGGGGAGUGGAGAUGGACAAGGAGCCUGGCUGGGGCGGCACUAAGUCUGCUGCAAGCCAGCCAGCCCCUGAGCUGGUGAACUGGAACCAGCCUGGGAGAAAGGACAUGACCGUGGAGACAGGGAAGUCUCUCAGAGGAAAGGCGUGGGUUGUAUCAACUGGAAGGAGAAUAUCAAACUCCAUCUGCCCCAGCUGUGAUAACCGUCUUGCAGCCAAUUGUGGCACAGAACAAGAGUUAGGGACUGAGACCCUAAGGAACAUAUUUGAAAUGCUGCCAAUUUAGCCAGUUUCCUCCUACUCCUGAAUUAAGCUGCAAACUUGUCAAUGAAAAAGCUGGAUAGUAUGGAAGCCCAGUAAAAUGUGAGCUGGAAAAGUAGUGUUACCAUGGCUUAUCAGAAAUCGAAGAGUACGUCCCAUUGAUCUAUCAUAAAGGUCAUUUAAGAGUACUUCCUUUCUUUCAGAUGGGAAAAGGAGGCUUAAAAAAAGUCAAACUCAGGCACCCAAGGCCUAUUGCAGCCACGUUGCCCUUGCCUCAGGGAUGAGCUGUCUGUGGACAGCUGGCCCCUAGCUUUACAUCUUAAAAACAGUGGAAACUACGCCUACAAUUUUACUUUACUUUAGUCCUGCGGCUUCAUUUAAAUGUAUAUGAGAUCUAAAUACAAUCUUCCACUGUGAGCUUUGUAGCAUGGAUGCUCUGUAUGGCUUCUUUAUGUCAUGUUAGUACAAAGUGACAGUAAUCCAUGACUGAAUACUCUUGAUAAAGACUCAUGAAAUAGGAGACAAAAGUUCCUGGUAAAGUAUUACCUCUUGUUCUAUGUGCAACAAUUUUAUCUGAUCUUCUAACUCAUGCUUCAUGAGCAAUAGUGAGUAAAUUAUCAGAUUUCUCUACAGCUCUGUCUGGACCACACUGAUUAUGAUCUCUUCUUGUGAUGAUAACUCUUCCAAAGCAGCUGCAACCCUUCACUGCAAAGCUUACCAUAUACUUUCCAACUACUUGAUACAUCCACUGUCUGACUAAUAAUCCUGGGUGCCUGGCUAUGAAUAUUACAUGUUGGUCAUAAAUCCUUCUUACUAUCUUUUUUUGCUUUAAUGUCACUUGGACAGCAGUAGCUAAAACCUUAGUUUCUUUUUUUACCGUCUCUUUUGUAAUUUGUCUCAUAUUCUACUUAAAAUAUACCACCUGCUUUUAAUUAAUAUUUUAGAAAAAAUAUGUCUGUAUAUUUCUUUUCUGUUUUACCUUCUUUACAAAACCUGUCUGUAUGAAAAGAAUACACCUGAUGUGAUUUAAGAAAUUCCUUCCAUUACCGGUCACUCCCUUACGUACCUCAAAUAUUUUUUAUCAUUAUAUAUUCCUAUUUUGUACAGCUCUUGAUGUCUUCUUGCUAAGCCAAGUAUCCCUUCCAGUGGCCUCUCUUCUAUUAACAAGAUGAAUGCAUAGUAGAAGUCCAGUACAGCUGCUGAUCUGCAAGGCCUGCCCCAUAGGCCAUUAUCAGACAGCAGCAGGCCGUUGCUCCAAGGGGUUAGAACCUGCACACUUUCACUUCUCUCUCAAGUGUUUCUACUGAAGUCCCAGUUCCCUGGGGUUAAAUGCCAAACAAAAAUGCCAGCUUUCCUCUGAUGAAUGUAUCUAACUGUCAUGGGUAUGCAGGAAAAGUCUGAAACACAAGUUGUUAUAAAAGUACACAAGCCAGAAAACAGCUAUAAUGCCUACAUUUUUUGUAACAUCUUGGAGAACUCAGGAUUUUCUAAGGUAACAGACAAUACUAUGUCCUUGGCAGAAAUUUCUGGAGGUCAGUUUGGAGCCAAGUGCAGCAAAUGAUUAUCUGUGGCUGUUCCUUCUACUGGUGCCUGUGGACUUCAAAGAAAAAAAAAAAAUCAAGGCCUGGAUUCCUGAAGAAGUGCUGAGAGGGAGCCUUUCAGAUGGACAUGGAACAAAGUGGAUAUGACACGGCCUGGGAAGAGCAAGACAGAGCUUAUGUUGAUCAAGAAGAGAAGACACUUUGCCUAUUGGUAUCUUCUGUAAGUCUCUUGCACCACCAAAUUUUGAGGGAGCUGGAGCAAGAAAAGCAACAGAAAAUGUAAUUCUGCAGCAUUGCUGUAAAGAAUAAGUUGACACUUCGCUGAACAUGAGACAGCAGUGUGCUCAGGUGGCCAAGAAGGCCACUGGCACCCUGGCUUCUAUCAGAAAUACUGUUGCCAGCAGGAGCAGGGAGGUGAUCAUCCCUUUAUACUCAGCACUGGUGAGGCUGCACCUCAAGUACUGUGUACAGUUUUGGGCCCUUCACUACAAGAAAGAUAUCAAGGCCCUGAAGUGUGUUCAGAGAAGGGCAACAAAACUGUGAGGGGUCUGGAGCACAAAUCUUAUGAGGAUUUGGUGGGGGAAUUGAGAUUGUUCAGUCUAGAGAAGAGGAGGCUCAGGGGAGACCUCAUUGCUCUCUACAACAAAAAGGAGAUUAUGGUGAGGAUCAACCUCUUCUCCCAUGAAACUAGUGAUAGGACUAGAGGGAAUGGCCUCAAGCUGCUCCAGGGAAGGUUCAGGUUGGAAGUUAGGAAAAAUUUCUUCAACGAAAAGUGUGGUCAGACACUGGAAUGGGCUGCGCAGGGAGGUGAUUAAGUCACCAUCUUUGCAGGUGAUCAAGAGACAUUUAGGUGUUGUGCUAAGGCACAUGAUUUAGUGGGGGAGUAUUGGCGAUAGGUUGAUGGUUGGACUGGAUGAUCUUGGAGGUUUUUUCCUACCUUGAUGAUUCUGUGAUUCUAAGAACAAUCAUUGCUAAAACUGGUAGAUCUUUUACCGAGUAACUUCAGAAGCUUGAGUUACAAUUUCAGUUAGUUUAUUUUGGCUAUCAUUUAGCUAAUUAAGGAAUCCAAACAAUGUCAAGUGCUGAUCAAUCACGGAGCUAAACACAAUUCCUGUCCUUCAGAACUUGCUGCUUAACAAACAUACAUAUUCAACAGGUGAGCCAAAAUAAGGUGCAUCUGGAUCCAAAUCAUACCUGGUGUUAUUUAGUUAGUUGUAAUAAAGCCUGUUAUUACUGAGAACAGAGAUGUUGUUUUUGCAGAGCUGCACAAAGGUUGUUGUUGAAAGUCAUUCUGUUUUUGCUCAGGCAUUGCAGCUCAUCUGGAAUUUUGAU